GACGAACGCUGGCGGCGUGCUUAACACAUGCAAGUCGAACGGAAAGGCCCCCUUGUGGGGUACUCGAGUGGCGAACGGGUGAGUAACAUGUGAGUAACCUACCCUUGACUUUGGGAUAACUUCAGGAAACUGGGGCUAAUACCGGAUAGGAGCUCCUGCUGCAUGGUGGGGGUUGGAAAGUUUCGGCGGUUGGGGAUGGACUCGCGGCUUAUCAGCUUGUUGGUGGGGUAGUGGCUCACCAAGGCUUUGACGGGUAGCCGGCCUGAGAGGGUGACCGGCCACAUUGGGACUGAGAUACGGCCCAGACUCCUACGGGAGGCAGCAGUGGGGAAUAUUGCACAAUGGGCGGAAGCCUGAUGCAGCAACGCCGCGUGCGGGAUGACGGCCUUCGGGUUGCAAACCGCUUUCGCCUGUGACGAAGCGUGAGUGACGGUAAUGGGUAAAGAAGCACCGGCUAACUACGUG
rnacentral:rRNA from 1 species